GCCUGGCUUUGUGAUUCACUGAGUGAUGUAUAAGCUCAGGCUCCCGCCCAAGCGUUGGCCUGUGUGUGUGUCUACUGCGGGUGAUCAUUGAACUCGAGCAGAAUGUGCCCAUGCGCGGUGAAGACUGCCCUGCCCGGUACCCACCGGGUAUGUUAAAUUCAGGGGGAAGUGGCCUCAUUUUGAUCUUGUGUAUAGGCUGUGAUGUCCAAUGGACUUAAAAUAGCAAUACAGUGAUGCCUGUCUUUUAGUCCUUCCCUAUGUGUCUAGAGAAGGAAGGUUGAUGGACUAGGCUUCCUCCGAGUCCCUCGUACCUGUAACGACCCAAGGCCCAACAGAGUUUAUCAGAUUGGGACCAACGGCAAUCUGCAUUCGAUCAGGUUGCUGUAUGACUGGCUUGCCGGCCGCCAUCACUGCAAGGUAAAAGUGAAAGGGCAUGCCUCUUUCGCAAGGACUCUGCUUUUUGUGCUGACAAUCUCCUCACUUCCUCUGAUGAAAUAGAAACUCUGGCUGCUGGUUAGUGCCCGAGGCAGCCAAGCAACGGUCACCGAAAGGGCCCCCCACCCCCCGACACAUCAGGGAAUGGACAUCAGCCCUACUUUUUAAAUCCACAUCUUCCCAAGGUCCAGUGGCAUCCAACACACAGUGUUACCAGGGUUAAGCAACACCUCUCCCUGGCUACUGGGAUGGCUUCUGGAAGUCGAUCAGCCUGGUCUGAGCUCCCGGUCUACUCUCAAGCCUUUCUCUUAGCGGCUCCCAGAAGGGAGAGGCUGGACGGUUUGCAUGUCCGCAUGCCCCCUCCACACCGAGCCCUGUGGAUCAGCUGAGACUGUAGGCGAGUUAUUUUGUGGACACUUUCUCCUAAUCCUAAAUCUUCAACUCAUUCCAAAGUGGAAGGUUGGUCCACCGGUGACGACUUGAUCCUUCGGCCGUGAAGACGUCUACCAACUAACUAACUCAUCUGACUGGUGACCGUGAAGUCCAGCCACCUGUUGCCAACACUGCCAUGGUCAUGACCACCCCCAUCUCUCACCUGGAGUGUUGUAACAGACUCCUCACCUGUGACCUGCUUCUUGCUCCCCAGUGGCCUCUUGCCCAUGAAGGAGAUGGAGCGA